rnacentral:lncRNA from 1 species
AAAAAUCAAUUUUUACUUGAAAGAAAGCAUUUUAACUUUGAUUUCUUUUUUUUAAAACAAACCCCAAACUCUUUCUUCUUCCCCACUUCCUCUUUUUUCCAGUCGCAAAUAAGGCUAACACCAAGCUUUCGAUCGCCUCAAUGACUGAUUGCGGCGACCGAAGCAAGGCUUCCCCGUGGUGGAGUGCGACGUCUGGUGAGUUUCUCUCGGAUCGUCUUUUACACAUAAAAGAAAAAGGAAAGAAAAAUAGUAAAACCGUAAAAGGAAAAAAAAAACUUCAAGAAUCACCUUUAACAAGUGUUGUUAUUAUAGAUCUCUGCUUGCUUUUGAUUUUGUAUCUAUAUUCUCUCUAACCAAAAGUAAAAAAAAACCUCCCUUACAAACAAAAAAUCAAAGCUUUUAUAGCCAAAUACAAACGGUUUUCUGGCCAUUUUCUUGCUUCAAUAUCGCAGGCUGUGGAGUUGUGGAGGAGUGCAUGAUUAUGGGGCGUGGACGCGCGAGCCAGUGGGUCGUGCUCGGUGUGCCGACGCACGUGGUGGAGGGGAGCAGCAGCUGUUCCCUUUUUUGCUGAAAAGUUAGUCUAGUAUUGGGCUGUUUGGGCUCUAGGGUUAGGUUUAUUUUGGGCUUAUAAUUGGGUUUGUUGUUUUUGUAAUUUUUGGAUUUUUAUGUGGGUUUUAUUAGGUUUAUUAUUUAGUGUAAUUGGGCCGGCUGUUAUUUGUAAAUGGAUUUAUUUAAUAUCUUGUUUUAUUUUUUUGGUUUUUUGUAUGUGUAUGGGCCCGGGCCAAAAAUUGGGUCUACAUCUGUCCUUCUUUGCGCGUUGUUGUGUAACAAGAACGGAGCAAAGACCUCAAAAGGACCAAUUUUGCCCGGUCUUACUGAAUUUUUGACUUCUUUGGUGCUCCUCUUCUUCAAGUAGUCUUACAACAACUUCAAGAAGAUAAUACUUGUAUAUUGAGCCUGCUCCAUUGCAACUUCAGAGGGAUAAGGUUGGUGGCUAAAAUCUGCUCCAUAGUUGAUACAUGGAGAUAAGAUCUGUAAUAUUCAGUUUGCUUCCUGCAACUUCAGAAAGACAAGACUUGUAUCUUCAACUUGCUCUCUACAACUUCAGAGAGAUAAGGCUGGUGGCUAAAAUCUGCUCCAUAGCCGAUACAUGGAGAUAAGACUCGCCAUUUUCGAUCUGCUCCAUAGCCGAUACGUGGAGAUAAGAUCUAUAAUUUUCAGUCUACUUCCUGCAACUUCAGGAAGAUAAGACUUGCAUCUUCAACCUGUCCUCUGCAACUUUAGAAAGAUAAGAAUGGCGGCUAAAAUCUGCUCCAUAGCCGAUACAUGGAGAUAAGACUCGCCAUUCUUGAUUUGCUCCAUAGUCGAUACAUGGAGAUAAGAUCUGUAAUUUUCACUGAUGUCGCUACAUUGUCCUCUAGGGAGCUUGCCCUGCAGACUCUGUUUUAUGUUUAUGCCAUAUGAUUAGAAUGCUAAGACCGAAAUGAAUUAGAUGCUCCUAACCAAAUGUGUUAUGAAUGAUAUGAAUAUAGAAAUGAAAAUGGUUUCUUUUUCCUUUUUUUUUUUUUAAAAAAAACUUUAAGUGUCAUCCCUCACUAUUCAUCAGAGUUUUAUCACCAUCGUAUUAUGCUGCCUUCUUACUUGACUAGCAUUUCUCAACAAAACCUGUAGAAAUAACUCAUUUUGCUCAACUGGUUGGCCCCAUUGCAACUCCGGGGGCUGUUUCACUUCUAGAACCUAAGGUUUGCCCCUCUUUAAAACCCCCUCUUCCAUCAAUUCGGUCUAUUACCCCACUCCCUGGGCACCAUAACCAGAUGUGUACGCCUAACAUUACAUUAAUGAGGAAUAUCAUGAUCCCCUCCUAUGCCUUGGUUGACACAACAUCAUGUUUUUAAUCAAUAUCUUUGACUGAAGAGAUAAUCCCAAUUUUAACACAAAUAUUCCACCCUUAAGCUGGGUAAGUUCUAAACGAUAAUCCUAUUUCAGGUUCCUGCACCAUUUAGAAACUUCCAGAGUAAUAUGCAAAACCUCUUUUGCAAAAGUAUUAUUAAUCCAUUAACUGUUAUUUCAAUAAACACAUGAACAUAAAGAUAAAGAUGGACAAAACUGAAGUUUAUUAGGAAAAAGAUUCAAGAAAAAUAAAUUAAUCAAGGGAAGCAAAUAUUGCCAGAGUACAAAAAUAGGUAAAGGGGAACAAAAAUGAACAUCCCAGAUAUCGCAGCCUAAGCUCCUCCGCAUGAACUCCACGAGGACCAUUUUAAGCUUGUCAUGUACCUAGGAGAUCUAACGUAUUCUGUCGAUGCCACAAGACAUGCGUACUUCCUCUUCAUUAAUUCCAGCACAGCAAGACUACCACAUGCCCCAUCCUUGGUCAAAAUUUGAAUUGCCCUUUUCGGGUUUUCAAUUCAAAACCUCUCUAGUCUCAAUGCGCUCUUUGCGGGUUUUCACCUUAGCUUCUCAUUUUCAUUUUUUUAGGCACCUUUUGUGGGUUUUAACCUCUUAAGCGAAGUACUUUUUGACUGAAUCUGAAUUUACUGGGUUAGGCAGGCUCCUACCAUCCAUCUCAGUUAAUAUGAGUGCUCCUCCAGAAAAAGCCUUCUUUACCACGUAAGGUCCUUCUCAGUUUGGCAUCCAUUUCCCUCUAAAAUUUUUUUGCAUAGGGAGAAUUUGUUUCAACACCAAGUCCCCCUCACGGAAUACUUUGGGGCGAACUUUUUUGUUGUAAGCUUGCAUCAUUCGCCUCUAGUAUAUUUGACCAUGACGGAUAGCCUUCAGUCUCUUUUCUUCAAUCAAGUUCAGCUGAUCAUACCGAGACUGAAUCCAUUCUGUUUCGUCUAGCUUCAACUCUGAUAAAACCCGAAGAGAAGGAAUUUCGACCUCAAUAGGCAAAAUUACCUCCAUCCCAUAAACCAAUUAGUAAGGUGUUGCCCCGGUAGAAGUUCUGACAGAUGUUCGAUAGGCAUAAAGAGCAAAUGGUAACUUUUCAUGCCAAUCCCUGUAAGUCUCAGUCAUUUUCCCCACGAUCUUUUUAAUAUUCUUAUUGGCUGCCUCAAUCGCACCAUUCAUUUUUGGGCGAUAAGGUGACAGUUGUGGUGUUUAAUCUUGAACUGCCUGCAAACCUCCACUAUCACGCUAUUAUUCAAAUUUAAUGCGUUGUCAGAUAUGAUCCUUUCUGGCAUGCCAUAUCGACAUAUGAUUUUUUUUUUUUAAGAACUUGCUGACUGCCGACUUUGUGACGUUGGCAUAUGAAGCAGUCUCCACCCACUUGGUGAAGUAAUCGAUGACCACAAAGAUGAAUCGAUGUCUAUUAGAAGCCUUCGGUGAAAUCGACCCUAUAACGUCCAUGCCCCACAUUGAAAAAGGCCACGGAGAAAUCAUGACAUGAAGGGGUGAAGGAGGCACGUAGAUCUUGUCACCAUAAAUUUGGCACUUAUGACAUUUCUUGGCAUAGCUGAUGCAAUCUCCUUCCAUUGUGAACUAGUAGUACCCGAAUCUCAUAACCUUCCUGGCCAUUGUGAACCCAUUGGCAUGCGUCCCGCAGACACCCUCAUGGACCUCUUCCAGGAUUUUCUUACCUUCAACAGCAUCAACACAUCUUAACAGUACCUGAUCUUUCCUCAUUUUAUACAGGAUUUCUCCAUCCAAGACAUAGUCACUGGCUAGCCUUCUUAACGUUCUUUUAUCAUUUUUCGUUGCCUGGUCAGGGUAUUCACGAUUCUUCACAUAUCGUAAAAUAUCAUGAUACCAAUGAUAAUCAUCUCUUUCCUCUUCGUUGUCUAUAUUGUAACAAUGAGCUGGAGCCUCAUAAAUACUCAUCUAGAUCGGCUUCAUAUUCUCUCGUCCAUUUACUCUGAUCAUAGAAGCUAACGUAGCCAAGGCAUCUGCCAUCUGAUUUUCAUCUCGCGGGAGAUAAAAGAAAGUGAUAUUAUCAAACACCUUAAUUAGAUCCCGAACUAGUUCUCGAUAGUUGAUCAACUUUGGGUCUCUUGUCUUCCACUCACCUUUGAGCUGAUAGAUCACCAGUGCAGAAUCCCCAUACACCUCUAACACCUUAAUUUUACGUUCGAUGGCUACACGGAUUCCCAUGAUACAUGCUUCGUACUCUGCCAUAUUAUUUGUGCAAUCAAAAUCCAAUUUGCAAGUGAACGGAUAAUGAUCUCCAGCUGGGGAUAUCAAGACUGUCCCAAUUCCAUUACUAACGGCAUUUGAUGCUCUGUCAAAAUUCAGUUUCCACGGAUGAUCUUCUGAGGUGCCCUCUUCGGUAAUUGCCACAUACAUUAGAUCUUCAUUUGGGAAAUCAAAGUUCAAAGGCUCAUAAUCUUCCAAAGCUCUGCUGGCUAGAAAAUCUGCUAUUGCACUCCCUUUCACAGCCUUUUGACUCACAUAAAUUAUGUCGAAUUCAAAAAGUAAAAUUUACCAUCGGGCCAUCCUUCCACUCAAAGCAGCUGACUCUAUCAUUUACUUUAAAGGGUCCAAUUUUGAAAUUAACCAAGUCGUAUGGUACAACAGGUACUGCCUCAAUCUCCGAGUAGUCCAAACCAAAGCACAACAUAGUUUUUCAAUUGGUGAGUAUCUCAUUUCACACUCAGUGAAUUUCUUACUGAGGUAAUAUAUCGCCUUUUCCUUCUUUCCCGUCUUAUCAUGUUGACGGAGCACACAUCCCAUUGAAUUGCCAAAUACUGUCAAAUACAAUAUUAAUGGCCUACCAGGGUUAGGUGGCAUUAGCACCGGGGGAUUAGACAAAUAUUGUUUAACUUUGUCAAAGGUUUUCUGGCACUCAUCAUCCCACUCGCCUGGGUUGUAUUUCUUGAGAAGGCGAAAUAUAGGGUCACAUUUCUCAGUCAGCUGUGAAAUGAACCGGACGAUAUAAUUUAGUCUUUCCAAGAAACCUCGAACUUCCUUCUGAGUGUGCGGCGGAGGUAAUUUUUGUAUAGCCUCGACUUUGUCGGGGUCGACCUUCAUUCCCUUUUCGCUGACUAUAAAACCAAGCAGCUUCCCUAACCUAACUCCAAAAGUACAUUUUGUUGGAUUGACUUUAGCUGAAACUUCCUCAAUCUCAGGAACAAUUUCCUUAAAACCUGUAUGUGCUCCUUUUUCAUUCGGGAUUUUGCGAUCAUGUCAUUGACGUAAACCUCAAUUUCCUUAUGCAUCAUAUCGUGAAAUAAGGUUAGCAUGGCUUUUUGAUACGUUGCUCCCGCAUUCUUCAACCCGAAUGACAUCACCCUAUAGCAAAAAGUCCCCCAUAAGGUUAUGAAUGUGGUUUUUUUCAUAUCUUCAAGAUGCAUCUUUAUCUGAUUGUACCCAGAGAAAUCAUCCAUGAAGGAGAACAGUGGGUAACCUGUCGUGUUGUCCGUCAGAGUGUCGACGUAAGGCAAGGGGAAGUUGUCCUUUGAGCUGGCCUUGUUUAAGUCCCUGUAAUCUACACACAUCCUCAUCCUUCCAUCUUUCUUAGGGUCAGAGACGACGUUAGCUACCCAUUCUGAAUAAUUAACAACUUGCAAGAUCCCGGCAUCAAAUUACUUUCUGACCUCUUCUCUUAUUUUUACUGCAACAUCGGGUCUCAUCCUUCGAAGCUUCUGUUGAACAGAAUUGCACUCUUCUUUUAUGGGGACGCGAUGUACCGUAAUAUCAGCUCUUAGCCCAGGCAUGUCUUGAUAUGACCACGCGAAGAUAUCCUUGAACUCUUGCAGUAAAUCAAUGAGGUCCCAUCUUGUUUCCUCAGUUAUGCAAGUUCCAAUGUUCACCUCUUUCCCCUCUUCCAAGGUCACACUCUCGAUUGUCUCUUUAUAGGGUAGAAUCUCUUUCUCUUCCUGUUCUACCAUCCUUAACAAAUCUGAAGGUAAACUACAGUCUUCAUCAUCUUCAAAAUCUUGAAAUCCCUCCAGACACACGUCUCGCUCAAAAAGGAACUCUGGGUUUGUAACAGCAUCACUCAUGCCAUUGAUAUCUAGAGACCUAUUGUAGGCACGAAAGAAUAUCCAACAAACAAAUGGACCUAAAUAUAACUUUAUUUGUAUAGUAUGAUUAUAAACGAAAUGAAAGGAAAAUGAAAGUGCAUUUAUAUUGAAAUAAAAAUUUUGAACAUGAACCUAUUUCACAAAAGAUUCUUAUUGCUUCUACGCUUUUAAAACAACAAGUGUGUUUUGAACAUUACUCUGUAUUAGCACUAAAAACUACAGGAAUUUCCUCCGCAGUCCAGUUGUUCAGAACACUUCUAGGCUCAUAAAGGCGAAUGCUUGCUAAGUCAUGUUUCAUUACUUUCUCUUCAGAUAUGACAUUGAUAUUCAAAUUUUCCAUUGCGUCUUCAACUGUUCCCUCUCUUGUCAUCUUCAAUUCAGGAUAAAUAACUCUACCCGACACAAAUGUAUAAGAUAUAUAGGGAAAAGUCAUUGAUUUCCACUCGACUUCUGCCCCAUUCAGUCGUGCUCUUCGUCUCUUCUGCCUCCUUUCCAUCUCCUUUCUUUUCUACUUUGCAUCUGGUCUAUACCUUAAGCCAAAGCGAUCUUGUUUGUCAGCCAAAACUGGCAUCUCAACUCGCCCAUGAAGAUACUUUUCAAGUCCUCUUCCAAGCAAAGCUCCAUUUCCCACUGUUAAUUGCAAACUCAUCAUUGUAGCAUCAUAUAUUCUUGGCAUUGGGACCCUGCCCCCUUCAAAGAUGAAAGUUGCAUUUACAAACUCCAAUGACCGAAAGGAACAUUCAAUUGCUUCAUCAUCAUUUUCUAUAUAUGGCGCACUACUAGUAACGGAUGCAAUAAUGUCCUCCUCAGCAUUUAUCGUUAUCAAGCGGCCCUCUGUCACCAGCUUUAACUUUUUGUGCAAAGAUGACGGUACUUUCUCUGCCGAGUGAAUCCAAGGCCUCCCCAACAAGUAAUUAUAAGAAGGCGUAAUAUCCAUCACAAGGAAAUCUACCUCGUACGUGUUUGGUCUGAUCUGUAGAGGUACCUCAAUUCUUCCCAUCAUUUUGUUCUUAGUGCCAUCAAAUGCCCUCACUAUGUUCUGGCAUGUCUUCAUACGAGAGCUAUCUAUUGGUAACCUAUUUAAUGUGGACAAGGGUAAAACAUUCAGCGCUGACCCAUUAUCAAUUAGUACCCCCGGCAAUGUAUACGCUUUGCAGCGAGUGGUGAUGUGCAAAGCCUUGGUGGAUCCCAUGCCCCCUGGUGGUAUUUCAUCAUCACUGAAUGAGAUGAAGUUAUCAGCACUUAUAUUACUAACAAUGCGGUCUAGCUUGUUCACUGAAAUAUCUUCAACGACAUAAGUUUCGUUCAAUACCUUCAUCAAUGCAUUUCAGUGAACCUCUGAGUUUUGGAGCAGAGCUAGUAUCGAUGUACGUGCGGGCUGCUUGUGCAAUUGUUCCAUAACACUAUACUCACUAUGUUUUAGGAACUUCAGAAAUUCUUUAGCUUCAUCUUCAGUUACUGGUUCAUUAGCCAGUGGUUUUGUCCUCUUUUUCCCUUGUUCAAUCAUCACGGACUUCCCUUUUCCAGCCUCGACCUUUGUACUUGGCAUGCUGACCAGACUCUUCUCCCCUGGAUAUGUCACAUUACAGUUAUAAUUUCAAGGUACCCUUUUGUUAUCCCUAUACGGAAAAGCCGCGGGUCUCUGGAUUACAACUCUCGGUGUAAUUUUUUCUUCAACUUUAUUAAUUUUCGGUCGCGAAAUAAUCACCACUGGGUGAUUGACCUCAGAAACCUUCUCUAUCAACCCCUUCGCCGAGAAGCAUACAUCUUCUUUCUCAGUAAACUCAAAGAACUUCAGUUCUUUGUUGUCCAUUAGAGCCUGUACCAGGGCCCUAAAUUCAUUACAUUUUUCUAUCUCAUGGUCCCCCUCUCCAUGAAACUCACAAUAGUUCCCUGCUUGUCGGGAUUUGCUCCAAAAGUCUUGCAUGACUAGACCAUUAUCCACCAUCUUUUUCAAAACCUCCCUCAUCAGGGUUCUCACUUCUGCCACAUCCAACUUAAUUCUCCUUCCUAUAUUCUUGACUAUUGUGUUUACCCCUUUAUCAGUAUGAUUGGGUAACGGAUUUCCUACACCAGGUGCAUCAUCGAAUUUCACAAUACCCAUGCUGAUGAGCCUUUCGACUACCCUUUUAAAAGAGGUGCAGUUCUCUAUUGAAUGUCCCGCGAUUCCAGCAUGAUAUUCACAUUGAGCACUUGUAUCAUACCACUUGGGGUAUGGGGGUUGCAGUGGUUUUAAAUAAAAAGAAGAUAUAAUGUGUGCAUCAAACAAACUUUUAUACAGCUCACGAUACUUUACUGGAAUAGAAGUAAAUUGGGGCUUCUCCAUGUUCUGCUUUGUAUUGGGCUCCUGUCUUGGCGAAGCUUGCUGGCCCGUGGCUACCACUUUCGGUUGAUUUACCAUGAUUGGUUUCGCAUAAACCAUAUUCGCAUUGCUGACUUCAUUUUCUUUCUUUUUCGGGGCCAACCUCCUGGUACUUUCCCCUACCUCUAUCCUUUCCGCACCUUAUUGCAUUCUCAAUCAUUUCACCAGAGAUAACUAUAUCCGUAAAACUCUUAGUUGCGAUUCCCAACAUGUGAUUAAUAAAAAGUGCCUUCAAGGUAUUAAUGAAAAGUAUGGUUGUUUCCUUUUCCAACAGUAGGGGUUGGACUUGUGUAGCAAUCUCCCUCUAUUUCUGAGUGUAUUGCCUGAAACUUUCAUUCGACUUCUUUUCCAUGUUUUGUAAUGUGAUCCUAUCAGGCGCUAUGUCAGUCACAUGGCCAUAUUGUUUCAUGAAGCCCUGCGCUAUGUCUUUCCAUGAUUUGACUUGGGUACGACUUAAUUGAUUGUACCACUUAGUCGCAGCCCCAGCCAAACUGUCCUAAAAAUAAUGGAUCAAUAACUAAUCAUUAUUGACAUGACCAGUCAUUCUCCGACAAAACAUCGUGAUAUGAGCCUCAGGGCAACUAGUUCCGUUGUAUUUUUUGAAUUCUGGCAUUUUGAACUUCGGAGGGAGUACCAGAUCUGGGACCAGGCUCAACUCCUUCGCAUCCAUUCCACAAUGAUAAUCAGUGCUUUCCAACGCCUUGAAUUUUUCCUCCAACCACUUGUAUCGAUUUUCUAGCCGCUUUGGAAAUUCUGCUUCUGUCUUUCCUACUUCUAUGACCUCAUCGAAGUCAGGAACUGUAGGAUUUGCACAAUUGUCUUCGGGGUUAGAACACGAGCCCGUUGAAAAAUUUAGCAGUGCCGAAGUACUAGUCUGAUAUUGGGGUUUGAUACUAAUAGACACCUUUUGCGGAGGCACUAGGGUGUUUGUUGGGGUGAAACCCGGAGGGUAAGUAAGAAUCAUGCUAUCAUCUUCAGCAUUGACCAUGGGACUCUUUCCCUUUUCUGGCUUUCCAACUAGUAGCUGAGUCAGUUCGCUCAUCAUAGUCCUUUGAGAUUCCAGCAUUUGAUCUUUCAUAUCUUGCUGGAUCUUAGCUAAUUGCUCUUGUAUUUGCGCUUGCAUCUGUUCUUGCAUUUCUUUUUGCAUUUGCUCCAACUUUUCAAACCUUUGAUCCAUAGCUUUAGCCUUUUUCCGUGUGUAGUAUUGAUGUUCUAGGGUAACUAUAAUAUAAUUUUUAAUCAGGAUUCUUUUGUGAAAUUUAAUGCACAUGAUGCGAUGAGAGACGUCGAUUCUGAUUUAAUUCCAUUUAAAAAACUUUAUUAAAAAGCAAAAUCCUUUACAUAAAAUAGAUCACAUAUACAACUUAGCCCUAAUGCUCAAAGUUUUAACUUUCUUAAGAAGGCAAGCUAGCUCACGACUCCGGUCCGACUCUAACUCAUACUUCACACUUAGGACAUCAGCCUGAACCGCUAAGGUCUGUAAAUAAUCAGCCACUUCUCGAAUCUAAGCCAUAGCUUCACCCAUGAUGUGAUCUCUAUCUCUGACCUGGUCCUGCGAUUGACGGAGCUGUUCCUUCCACUGCUCAUUGUUCGACUCAAGUAAUUCAAUUCGAAGCUCACAGUUUUGUAGAGCAGUCUCGAACUUUUCUACCUUCCCAUUCAAAUCUUCAAUCCUACUCAGGUUGGCUCUUAAUUCAAUAUCAGAGUUACGACCAGGGUGCUGAUGCAGGGCCUUUUCUAGCUCCGCUACCCGAGCUACCAACAUCUCUUUCUCACCUUGGCCUUUAACCAAGCUCUUCUUUAAGGCACUUUCACGUGCUCGAGCAUCAUGAAACCUCUUCUCCCACUGAUCAGCUCUAGCCUUUUCCGCUUGAAUUUUCUAUUGCCACUGCUCUAACAUCUUCUCCAACCCGGCAGUUUUCAUCGACAUACGUAGCUUCUUGUAAUCAGUUUUCAAACUGUCCAGGCCUUCCUCAACCUUCUUUUCCCCUUUUCUCAACUUCUCAGCCUCGAGUUUCUGAACGUCGACAUCCAAUCUCAAAUGCAUCUUUUUUUCCUCUAAUUGUUCUAUGUUUUUCCCUAACUCUGCAUUUCUCUCUUCGAAGUCCCGUUUUACGAUUUCAAGCUCGGAGAGGAUUACUUGCAAAUAUUAUUCCAUCGUACGAAAAUCCUCCAAACUCGGCUCGGGGAUAUUAUCAUUAACUCUUUUACUCAACCACCCCUUGUAUUCAGUAGUCGUCAUUGAUCCAACAGCCAAUCUCUUCACCCAGUGCGUCUAUUUCCAAACAUCAGAAAUCUCUUAAACCUUCUUCUUAUAAUUAUUCUCCUUAUACGUGAACUCACUCUGGCCUAAUCCAUAUGUCAUCGGUAUAAACUGCCUUGACCUGUAUUGUCUUAAAACGAGCAAAGGGGCAUAUCCAGCAGCUCCCCAAAUUCCAAGUAGAGAUACCCAAUCAAAACUCCCACACCGAUAGAGAAUCUCAUUAGGAACAAACCAAGGAGCUCUCCACUCAACAUCCUCUUCCUGAAGAUUUCGGAGAAGCUCGAUCCAAUUUUCUUAUGAUAUGUCAUCUCUCCUAGACAUGGCUGCUAUCUCCUUUAACGGGGAGUAACUCUCAGAAAAAACUGAUAAGAAACCUUAUCUACCUUCUAGAAAUAGCUGUGGAACCAAGCCAACAAUAAAUGCACACACCCUAUAAAUCUACCUUCACUUGCCCUCUGACAUGCACUCAAAGAUCUGAAUGUCUCAGCAAGAAUUGCUGGCAUCGGUGUGACCCCUUUAUCAAGUCGAUCAAAGAAAUCAGCAACUGCUUCAUCUAUAUGCCUUAAAGCCUUGGGAAAAUCACCAAACCAUAGAUACUUAAGGCGAAGACAUCAACUUUCCUCUUUGUAUCCGGAUGUGCUACGACCAGGUCCCUCAAACUUACCCAAGGAAUGCACCUACCAUCACCCUUUUGCUGAAUUCGAGCUGUAACCCAUUGUUCACUUAUCCCAGUGAUACUCAUUAACUUCUUUACAAAAGCUGGGACAACGAAGCAAAGUCGUAUACUACUCCACAAUAGGCCCCAAUUCCACCUUCCCGAAGGUUAAACAACUAUACGCCAGGUUCCAAAACUGAGCCAUAGCCCGAAACAAGUACUUGUCCACCUUGAUAUCGAGCAGGUAGGGUAAGUCACCAUAACUUUGAUAGAAUAGAUGCUUGGUCUCAUCAUCCCAACGAGCCCAUAUAUCUCUCAAUUCUUGGAACUCGUUUUGGGUCACGUUGAUGCGAGUGAAGCCCGACAACCCCGAUGUAUACCCCUCAGCUAGGCUAUCCCCUUUCUCAAGUUGCAUCUUCUCUGACCAUAUAUAGACAGCCGCAUUAUCCUCUACUUUAUCAAGGAGUUCGCUCUCCAUAACAAGCUUUCUAAUUUAGCAACCGAACAGAAAUCGACACCUCUUUAAUAUGAAAUGACAUGUAAAACAUAAUCACAACAAAACACAACAAGUUAGAAUCAAAAAAUAAAAUUUAAGCAAAAUAGAAAAUAAUUAAACACCUAACUGGGUAAUCACUAGAGUUCAACAUAGCUCUACCUAGGGCGGGCUCCUAGAGUUUACUAUAUGCGGCUCGGUUCUAAGAAAAUGGUACCUGAACUAGCAGAUUCCUCAACCCUCACCCAUUAUAGGCUCAUGCAGAUCGAGUUCAGUUCAGGGUAAUACAUUUCCCUAUGGCCAUGCGAAGGUGAAAACCUCACGAAGGCAUAGGUACGGAUGUAUCCCAAAAGCAGUCCACUAGCCCAUGCGGAGGUGAAAACCUCACGAAUGCGUAGUUUCUCACUUCUACUUAAAAAGGUGCGACCACAACGGUCAUACAAGAUGAUGUGAAGAGAUAUAAAAAACUCAAAAUGUAAAACACGAAUAAAAAGACCAAAAACCAUAAAACCCAUGAAAUGCAAUAAAAGGAUCGUACGUUAAAAUCUAAAUUUUAAAUUUUCGACAAAAAGAUAGAAAAUAAUCAAUUUUACGGCUUGACUCUCUUAUUAGUCCCCAGUGGAGUCGCCAAGCUGUCGCCACCAUUUUUAUUUUGGAAAAAAACAGGGAUCGAUUUUUAAAAAACGAAUUAUGAAGUCGCCACCGACCUUUUUUGAGGUAUAAUCGGAUCACCUUGAGGUUGAUCAUUUUAAUAAAACAUUUGAUUUAUUAAAAUAAUAAUUUUAGAUCUAUGAAAAUUGAGAAAAAGGGUUCGGGAGUCAGUCACACACGAGGAAGGGUUAGCACCCCCGUAACGCCCAAAAUUGGUACCAAUUGAUUAUUGAAUGUCUUAUCGUUGAAAAUUUAGAAAAAAUUUAAAAUACGAUUCCUUUAAAAAUGUAUGAACAAUUCGAAUUGGAUUUUAAGGUUCACUCGCUUCGAAGAAAUAAAAUACCACAUCCAGCACAUUAGGACACAAUACUUUAAGCCUCCAAAAACUAAGAUCACCUCAUGAUUUCCAAAACACAUGAAGAAACUCCAAUCGGAUUUUGAGAUUGACUCAUUCCAAAGGAAUGAAAUACCACAUCCAGUACAUUAGGACACGAUAUUUUAAGCCUCCAAAAAUCGAGAUCACUUUAUAAUUUCCAAAACACGCGACGAAAAUUUUUGAAAAGGUAUUCGGUUAUUUGGUCCAACGAUAAAUUGAAACCCAGCACGUUAGGGCACAAUUCCUCGAAUUUCCAAACACGAAACAUUGCCUUGAUUUGUGAAGUUUCAAAUACAAUUGCAAAAAAAAAUGAGUCAAUAUAUUUGUUUGAUUAUUUGGAGAUAAAAACAAUUGAUGUUGAAAAAGAAGUUGAAAUUCAAAAACAUGAUGCAAUAAAGAGCAUGCAAGCUUAGUAUUGAGCAAGAAAUAAAAAUUCGGGGCAAUAAUAUUACACGGAUAAAAGAAAUGAUGAACACCAAAGAAUGAACUAGGGUGCAGGAUAUGGCAACAUAUUAUAUCAAAUUACACUAAAGAAAUAUAAAGUUUCAAAGUAAAAUUAAAUGAACAAUUGGGUAGAAACCAAAUUUUAAAAACAUUACUAUACUAACUGUAGAAGCCCAAAUUGCCCGGGCCCAAUUACAAUUAAACCCACUAACCCCCUAAAACCCACUUACAACCAUCAGUCCAAUUUAACCUAAUUUCUAACCCAAACCCCUUAACCCAUUUCUUAAACCCAAAACCCGAAUGGCCCACUAAAGUAUCAGCCAACCCCAUGACCCAUUUACAACAUAAACCGUUAACCCAAACCCUAAAUGUUAAUAUCCCAAAUAAUACCCAAAACCUAGAGGCCCAAAUCCUUGACCCAAAUGCUGACUUAGGGUUUCAAUUUCUGAAACCCUAACCUGCUCAGUGCCGCAACCACCCCCCUACUUGCCUCUGCCAAAGCCUGCAGCACCGGCCACCUGCCCUCUGCGCCCCCAUCACCUCUCAAUUGCUCCUGCAAAGAGAAAAAGGGACAAGACAGAAACUAAUAGAGAAUAAAUUGUAAGGCUAUAAAAGCCGAAUCAAAAUGUUGUAAGGGAGGUCGGCCAAAUUUCCAGUCAAUACAAACAUAGUAUUUCUAAAUACAAAUAAAACAAGGAUUCCAAAGCAAGAACAAAACAGCAAAUCGAAGGGCAAAACAAAAAAAACUAGAUUCAAACACAAGGUGAUUUUACUUAAAAAAAGAAACCGAAUCUUUCUUCUUUUUUUUUCUCAUAUACUACAAAUUUAUAUAUAUAUUACAUAACAAAUAUAUAAAAAAUAAAAGGAAAAAAUUUAAAUUUUUUUACCUCUUCGGCCACCGUGCACGGUGCUGGCGCCGGCGACGGACGGUGGCCGACGAUCGGCCGGUGACCCCCCUCGGCCGGAAUCCCUCUCUCCUUUUUCCCCUCCCUCUCUUCUCCCCUCUCUCUUUUUCUUUUUUUUUCUUCUGCUGUUAAUAAUGAAUUUUUUAAAAAAAAUUUGGCUUUUAUAGGGACCAAAAUGCAUCGUUUUGGUCCCCCCAUUAAACAAAAACGACGUCGUUUUGGUCCCGGGUCGGGUCGACCCGACCCGCUCCGAACAGAAUCCGCGUGUUUUUAAAGCGGAAGGGCUAAUUGCGCUUUUAACCCUUUCGCUUUUCUGGGGUUUUACAAUCAAGUUUUUUCAUUUUCAAUUUGGCCCCAUAAUUUUUGGCUUUUCAAUUUGAUCCCCCAUGUUGCGCUGCGUUUUGACCAAGGGGUUUAUUAUGCUUUUAGUCCCUCCAGGUUAGGCGCGUUUUAUAAUUUCAUCCUCUUCUUUUUAUUUUUUUCAAAUCGGCCCCAAUAGCUAAUUUUUCAAUUCAAUUUCGCCCUGUUUUUUACUUUUUUCUGUUAUUCGACUUUAAUUUUAUUAUUGUUAUAGUUUUAUUAUUAUUGUUAUUAUCAUCAUUAUUAUUUAUUAGUGUAUAGUUUAUGUAUAUAUGUAUAUGUAGUAAUGUUCUAUUACUUUAUUUUUAUAAUUUCAUUAUUAUAGCAACUUUUUGUAUCUCAAUAUUACUAUCUAUAUUAUUAUUAUUUUACCACAUUAUUAUAUUAUGGUUGUUAUUAAUAUACUAUUAUUAUAUUUAUUAAUAAUAUUAUUAGUACUAAUGUAUAUUUUCACUUAAUAUUUAUGUAUGUGUCUACUUGUAUGUAUUUAUAUAUUGUACUAAUAGUUUUCUUUUUUUAUAUUAUUAUCUCUAAUAUAUGUAUAUAUUGUAUAUAUUUAGAUUAUAUAUAUUAUUUCUUUACUAUUCCAUGUAUAUAUUUUUAUACCAUAUCGUGUAUAUAUCUUCAUUACUCCUAUCAUCAUUAUUAAUAUUAGCGUGUGUUAUCGAAUGUAUGCAUAUAUGUAUCUUUAAUUGUGUGUUUCUAUUUUUAUUAUAUAUGUAUUGUAAUACGCAUAUGCAUGUGUUUUAAUUAAUUGUACGUAUUUCGCAUACUAUUUCAUGUAGGUAUUUUUUAUAUAAUCCUUAUUAUUGAUACCAAUGUUAGUACAUAUAUUUUAUUAUACGUAUAUAUAUUUUUUAUAGUAUCAUUUUCAUAUGUUAUUAUGUUUAUUAUUUCUUUUCUAAAUUGUCACUCAUGAUCUUAAUAUUAUUAUAAGUUAUUUGGCGUACACCUAUCUUUUUUUUGUUACUAUUUUUACUAUUAUUAUUAGUAUAUGUCUAGUGUAUAUGUUCAUUUUAAAUAUAUUAUGUAUAUAUAUAUAUAUCUAUAUUAGGUACCUAUAUUUAGAAUUAUUAUGUAAACAUCUUUCAUCUCUAUGCACAUACACCUUUCAAUAUAUAUAUCACUAUGAAUAUACUUUAACAUUAAUAGUUAUGUAUAUUUUUCAUCACUUCAUGUAUAUUUCGAAUAUUAUAAGUAGUAUAUUUCCAACAUUACUACUAAUUAUAUAUAUAUGUAAAUAUAUAUUAUGUACAUACUCUUAAUGUCAUUUUUUUUACAUAGGUAUAUUCGUGGUGUUCUCAUUGUGUUCUCGUAUUUGAUACUAUUGUUACAUUUAAUAUCGCGUGCAUUGUCUUUGUUUUUAAUAUUAUUGUCGUAUGCAUUCUGUACCUUGCUGUAUUUACAAUUAUUAUCUUUCGUUUCCCGCCCAUUUUUAUACAUUACCUCGUUGUUCAUUAUUUCAAAAGGUUUAUUCGUGUUUUCAUUUAUUUCAAUAAGCAAGAAAGCGUACCGAUUUAAACACCAUGUCAUCGAUUUCAUCGCUAUGUUGGGUGAAUAUCAAAUGACUCGGGUUAAAACGGUAUAUCCUUCUCAAAAACAUAAAAAUUAAAAUUUCUCGUCUUUUCAAUUGGAUUACGAUUAAACCUUUCAUUGAACUCGUAUUUUUGAAAAUCAAGACAACUCGUGUUUAUAAGAUACCAAUUUUGGGCGUCGCGAGGGUGCUAAUACCUUCCUCGCGCGUAACUGACUCCCGAACGCUAAUUUUAUCUGGCUUUUAAUGUAGACCUAAACUCGGCCUUCUUUUUGUUUUAAAAAUUAAUUUAUUAGGUGUCCGAUCGUACCUAUAAAAAGGAUCGGUGUGACUCCCCUUUUAUUUCAAAAUCAAAUCUCGGUCAUUAAAUUUUCAAAAUCAAACACCCUAAUUAGCGACCAAGCUAAAUUUUUAUGUCGCUACAGCAUGGCGACUCCGCUGGGGAGCCUUUUGAGAGUCGUGUCUGGAAUUAAACUUGCGUUGUCAAAAUUUUCAGAGUUCCUUGUUCAAAAUGACAUUUAGUCGUGAUUUUCAAAUUUUUGUUUUCAAAAAGUCAUGCAUUCGUACUAUGUUGUAAAUAUUUUUUCUAACUCGUCUUGUCUUUUUGUUUUUCAACUUUAAGUUUUAUGGUUUUAGUUUAGUAGUUUUUUACAAUAAAAUGAAAGGUUUGUGAGUUUCUCCCUACACACCGUGCACGUGCAUCUUUGCAUAACAUGAGCUCUAUACCCGGGCUCCGUCUGUUUAAGUGGAAGUAAAUGCUAUGCCUUCGUUAGUUAACUCGUCCCUCCGUACAGGCUAGUGAAUACUUUCGGGUUACAUAUAACUUAUGCUUUCGUGAGUUAACUUGUCCCUCCGCAUAGGCAUAAGUAAAUGUAAUCCCUUGAAUUGAACUCGUGAGCCUGUGAUUGGCUAUGACCGAGGCUUCGUACUAAUCUUAGCAGAUGACAGUAUGGACAAUUCGAGUACCUAUCUAGAACCUAAACCGCAUAUAGUGAACCGUACGAGCCACCUAAUUAGAGUCAUGCCGAACCUCCGUCCGUUAAUGGUCACCAAAAUAAGUACAUGGGAGACGCGCUUCUUACCUUUUAUCUCUUUGACAUUUGCACUUUUUAUCUGAAUUUACCGUAAUUUAUAUUUGUUGUGGUUACUAACCAAGUUUGAUUGUUUUCAUUCUUAUUUUACAUCAUGCAUUAUAGGCAUCAUAUUAGGAAGGUGUUGACUAGAGAUUUGGUUGCCAAAAAAUAGGCUUCUAACGGAAGAGUUAAUUAUACAAACAACUGAGAAGAAUGCUGUGGUUCGAGACUGGUUUUUAAAAACUUAGAAAGAAAAAUGGGAUAGUCUAGUGGAGGGAUGUAUUGCCAGUCUGCCCGAGCACGUAACUGUGAAUGUUCGCCAGAAUAACCUUGAAGAUUUGGUUUGGGUUUGGAAUCAGUGGGACUCGGACAUUAGGGGUAUCUUCACCGAGAGAUAUGGAGACAUAGCCAAUUUGAUUGCCGUCAACAUAGACAAACGUUUGAUCCAAGCCAUGGUCAGAUUUUGGGAUCCGGCUUACCACAAUGUUUUACAUUCAAUCAAGAAGAUAUGACUCCGACUAUAGAGGAGUACGUUGCUUUGCUACGUGUUGAAAAUGGGCAAUUCCAUAAAGUAUAUGUGAAGGAGCCUAAGCCGAUGACCUUCAAGAAGGAGUUAGUAAGAUUGACAGACAUGACUGACGCAUGGGCCAAAAAACAAAUAAAGAAGAAGAAUGAAACCAUUUGCAUCCCAUGGACUUCUUUACGAGAUUUGGUUUUGAACCAUCCCGACAUGUUGAAAAGAGUAAAUCUAUUUGCUUUGGCCAUUUACAGUUUGAUCAUCUUCCCGAAAGUCCUUGGACACAUAGAAGUUGCGGUGGUGGAUUUCUUCGAAAGACUAAAACAAGGAAUCAACCCUGUCCCGACUAUCUUGGCUGAGACCUUUAGAUCCUUAAACAGUUGUAGGAAAACGGGGAAAGGACGCUUUAUCAUAUGCGCGCAGUUACUAAAUGUUUGGAUUUUGAGCUAUUUUUGGAAAGUAGAGCGCACACCGUACCACAUGUUUUCAAAACAUUUCACCCCGUUGGAAGCCUAUCUUGAGAGAGAAUGGCCAAAGGAUGUCAUCGAAGAGCAUUCGGUUUCAGUUUUUCAGAACCUUCGAGCUGAAGAUGUAACCUGGAGAGUACCAUGGAUCCGCCCUUCGGUUCUGUUAUACAAGGUUGGAAAUCAAGAUUGGGUACCACUACUCGUGUUAUGGGGAGGAGUUGGAUAUGCUCCGCUAUUAGUCCAAAGGCAAUUUUCUUCGCGACAAUUCAUACCCGCAACUGGAGGAUUAGCACAGUCCGAGUUCGCUUUCGCGGGUGAAGGGUAAAUGAAGAGGAUCCGAGACACUGUAAAGUCUUGGAAAAAAUUCAUCUCAUGGAAUUAGCCUUAUAUGCUGAUACCCUUACCCAAGAUUACGAUGUCUGGAGGAAGCAACGGGUGAAUAGUCAGCAAAUCUCGUCAACGAACUACACCGUCCAAAAUCCUUUCUCGGAAGAAAUGCCGUCUGAGCUAGAAAUGGCAAGACAAGAAUUUGAACGAGAAAAAGCCAAGAUGUCUCGGGACCUUAGUGCUCUUCAAGAGGAAAACUAUCAAUUAAAGAUCGACGUUCAGAUUGAAAGAUCUAGAACCGAGAAAGCGCAAAAAAAAGUUGAAGUCGUGAGAAAUGACUUAAGAGACCUCCAUCUGGAAAAUAAGAAGUUAAGAGGCACAAUAAAGAAUAGUGGGCUGGGCAAGUCGUCGGCAGAAUGGAGGGAAGAAAUAAGCAACAUUAAAGGCGGGGUGGAAUUUUAGAAAGGAAAAGCAAAGAAAGAGGAGGAAAAGACUGUACGAGCUAUGAUUGAACUAAGGAAGAAGAACGCCGAAUAUGAAGCUGUGUCUGCCGAGGUAAUGACUAGUCGAUCUAAACGUCAAGAACUAAAAGAAAGGAUACGAGAGUUAGAAGAUAUGCUGCAAGAUCUUUAACAACAACUAGAUACUCUCUUGAAGGCUUUGGAAGAAAAAGAUAGUCAGCAUGAUAGAGACGUUCGUGCUUACGAAGAGGGCCUCCAAGAAAAAGAAAUGCAACUUAACUAUUUGAUCAAUGAAGUUCGUGGGGUAGCCAUGCACGUGGUACAAUUAUCGGAAGAAACUGAAAUUCUCAUUUGCCAAUUCCCUCCAAGUCGAAGAUCAAACAUAUCAGAGUUCUUAGCAUGAGUAAAGAAAUACGGCGAUAUAGCCAGGAAGUUUGUGUAAUGGUUGAAUCGAAAAUGGAAAAAUAUUUUGUAAUGAACUCUUUUGAUGAAUGAAAUGCCUAAAUAGGGGCUAUCUUGAAAUCAACACCCAUUUCCUGCAUUUCUUUCAUGAUUGACAUUCAUUGAUCCACUCAUUCAUUCAUUCAUUGCAUAUCCCAUAAUCGUUCACCGAGGUUAAAACAUAAAUUCGCAGUUGUAAUACCACGAGACUAGAACCACGUCAUUCGCAUAGAACGCGUCAACAAGCUAGGGCAAUUGAGGCUAAAUUCAAUGAAAGAAUCGAAAGAAUGGAAAGAGUCCAAAAAGAAUUACAAGAGCAGUUGGCCAAGUCGCAACAAGAGACAAGAGAUUUAAUGGUGAGAUCUCGAGAGGAAUCACUCGAACAAAGAGACCAAAUGGCCAAGAUGAUGGAAAUGAUGUCAGCUUUAGUUAAAGAAAAGGGACCCAUGCAGAGCCCUAAUGUCGAGGAACCUCGGUCAAGAGUUAAUCACAGUCAAGAUCCGCUCUAUCCCCUAGGAUUCACUCCGCCGCAUGCCUACACAACACAAAGAGGGUACACCCAAGGGGAACCCACAGACCUGGAGCAACGGGUAGUUUGCUCACAUAGGGCAAGAAAUGUUUGUAUCAAACCCGGGGGCUAGUCCUGCUGAUCCACUCGUUCCAGAUUUGGACGAUCCAGCAGAAAUAGCCAAGUUGAAAACCGGUGAUCACGAGGUUCAAAAAAAGUAUAGGAGCUUAGAGGAAAGACUUAAAGCAAUAGAGGGUACUGAAGCCUUCUCUGCACUGAGUGUCAAAGAGCUCAGUUUGGUGCCCGAUCUGGUUCUGGCUCCGAAAUUUAAAGUACCAGAUUUCGAAAAAUACGAUGGCACGAGAUAUCCAAAGACGCAUCUUAUCAUGUUUUGCCGAAAAAUGACUGGUUACGUAAAUGAAGACAAGCUACUCAUACAUUAUUUUUAGGAUAGUCUAAUAGGAUCGGCUCUUUGGUGGUACAACCAGCUUAGUAGGGAAAAGAUCCGAUCUUGGAAGGACUUGGCGUCAGCCUUUUGUGAGCAGUACAAGCAUGUAUCGGAUAUGGUGCCUGAUCGAAUGACCCUACAAGUGAUGGAAAAGAAACCAGCAGAAACUUUUAGACAGUAUGCGCAAAGGUGGAGAGAUACCUCAGCCCAAGUAGAGCAUCCACUGACUAAGACUGAGAUAACAGUCCUUUUCAUCAAUAGUCUGAGAGCACCAUUCUAUGACAAGCUGGUGGGAAGUGCUACGAAGGAUUUUUUGGAUAUCGUAAUAUCCGAAGAACUUAUUGAGAAUGCCAUCAAAAGUAGGAGGAUGAAAAGUUUAGAAAGUUCAAAAAGGGCAGCGCCCACGAAGAAGAAAGAACCAGAAGCCCAUAUGGUGGGAAUGGGAAGCUGUUAUACCUCUAAUCCAUAUCCAAACCAACCACGACUUUAAAAUUAUCCUCCUUCGAAUUUCUAUUAUCCUCCUCAGACUCCUUACUAUCAAGCACCACCUCCUUCCUACCCUGUAUACGCCAUGAACAACCAUAGGCCCGUCACUACAUUCCCACAAAACACUCUACCCGCUCAAAGCCAACCCAGAAAUGAACCAAGACUAACAAGACCCAAUCCCGAGAGACCGCAAUUCACCCCUAUUCCUGUGUCAUAUGGGGAACUGUACCCAAAACUCCUGGAGAAGCAAUUAAUAUCUCCCAAUUACAUGGCACCCCUAAAACCUCUAUACCCGAAAUGGUACGAUCUAAAUGCUAGUUGUGCAUACCAUGCCGGGAAAUAGGGGCACUCUACGGAAAAUUGUCUGGCCUUCAAAAGGAGAGUUCAAGGACUCAUCAACGCGGGUAUUCUGUGAUUUGAUGGCACUGGUGGUACGUCAGGGAAUCCAUCCCAAACCACGUCGAAGGGAAUGUGAGCGCAGUGGAAGAGGAGGACAAACGACAAAAUAGAAGAUGAGUUUCUGAAAUAAGAAUACCUCUGCAGAAAAUUUAGGAGGUGCUAGUUGAAAAGGGGUUGCUCUGUCAUCUUAACAGAGUAUUCGAGGGAAUGAAUACAAAAGAUCAAAGUUUUUGUGAAUUCCAUGGUAUUGAGGGGCACGACAUUCAAUCCUGCGAAGAGUUUAAGAGAUUACUACAAAAUAUGAUGGACAAUAAGGAGAUUGAGAUUUUUUAUAAAGGCGAAGAGGCCAAUAGAGGAGAAAUAUGUGCCUCUGACCAUCAAUCGUCAGGUUUCCCGUAUAGCGCCGACCGACCGUUAAUAAUUUAUUAUGACGCGAAGAAGGAGCCGGUAAAACCAAAAGUGAUAAUCGAGGUACCAUAUCCUUUCCCCUACAAGGACAGUAAAGCAGUACCAUGAAAAUAUGACGUCAAUAUCAUCACACCUGAAGAUGAAAAACCCAAAGCCAUGAUUGGAAGCGUUGGGGAAGUAGGUCAUUUCACUCGUAGUGGAAGAUGUUAUUUGAAAGAGGUCGAACCAGUGAAGAAGAAUAGUGACUUGAAACAGAAAGGAAAAGCACCGAUGCACGUGAUCGAAGAUGAGUAUGAAACUGUGCCUGAACAAGAAGCUAAAAAGCCUGUGGACGAGGAGGAAGCACAGGAAUUCUUAAAAUUUAUCAAGCACAGUAAGUACAACAUGGUAGAACAAUUGAGUAAGCAACCAGCGCAAAUCUCGGUAUUAUCUCUACUGUUGAAUUCAGAACCACACCGGAACGCUUUGAUGAAAGUGUUAAAUCAAGCUUAUGUGGCAAACAAUAUAUCCGUUGAAAAACUGGAUAGGUGGGUGAACAACUUGAAUGCGGAUAAUUUCAUUUCUUUUAGUGAUGAUGAAAUAUCACCCAAUGGUAGAGGUUCAGUGAAAGCAUUGCAUAUCACAACCCGUUGUAAGGGUUAUAUAAUACCGAACGUGCUCAUCGAUAAUGGAUCGGCACUCAACGUCAUGCCUUUAGCCACACUUUCUAGAAUUCUGAUGGAUUUGUCCUAUCUAAGGCCUUGCCAUUCCACAGUAAGGGCAUUUGAUGGAACAAGACGUGAAGUCAUGGAAAAAAUCGAGAUCCCUUUAGAAGUGGGUCCCUACAUAUACGACCUUGGAUCCAUUCUGCUGGAGCAAUCCCGUCAUCCCUCCAUCAGAAGGUGAAAUUUAUCAUAGAUGGCUAUUUGGUCACUGUCGAGGGAGAAGAAGACAUUGUAGCAUCUAUUUCUGCCGACGCACCAUACAUUGAAGUGAGUAAAGAUGCUAUGGAAUGUUCCUUCCGAUCUCUUGAAUUUGUUAAUGCCACAUUCGUCGCUGAGGGAAACAGAACUCCCGAGCUAAAAUUAUUGAGAAAUACCAGGAUGGGUGUCAAGUUGACUAUAGGGAAGGGAGCCCGAGCAAGGAAAGGUUUGGAAGGUAUCUGCAAGGAAUAGUUAGGGCCUUAAAGCCAGUACAUCACAAUAGGGUUCCAACCAGAUGUGCGUCAAAGAAGGAUCAGGAGAGAAGGAUUGCGAGAACUUUGGGCCGAGAAAUAAAAUGGGAGCCCAUAACGUACCCUCAUUUGUCAAAAACAUUUACAUCUGCAGGGAUGAUAUACCCCGGACAAGAUAAUAUAUAAAGCACACUGUUAUUAAUUGAAAGGGGUCUUCAGAAUGUCAGUAUAAAUGUCAUUGACAAAGGAAGUAGGGUCAUUAAAGAUGUUCCAACGAUACGCCAUUGUCCUCCUGGUUUCAUGUUGAACAAUUGGACUGCCGAGGACCUUCUUGUAGUUUAUAAGUCUUCAGAGUAAUGCUCAAACAUUAACCCUCUAUUGUGUCCUUAGAUAUAAUAGAAUUCUUUUGUAAGAGCUUGCGUUUGCUCUUUAUCAUUUAAAUGAAUAUCAAUGAAGAUGCAUUUUGUCACAAUCUUUCGCAUUAUCACUAAUUUUAUAAUCAUCUCCUCAUUUCAUAGCCUAUCUGUACAUUUGCCUCAUACCAUUCCAUAACAUUUCGUUUGUUGGUUCCAAUACUGGGAUACCCCUUUAUAGUUUCCUUUUCUAUUCAACUUUCAGGUACUCAGAUAUCAAUGGCAUGAACAAACUCGUUACAAGUCCUGAAAUCGAUUUUGAGAAGGUUAUUUGUUUAAGAGAAUUCGAAGCCGAAGAAAAUGCUGAAGAUUAUGUUUCGUCUCUUGACUUGCUAAGAAUGGUUGAACAAGAGGAUAAACAGAUUUUACCUCAUCAAGAAUCUGUUGAAACAAUAAAUUUGGGAACUGAAGAAAGGAAGCAAGAGGUGAAGAUUGAGACCUCCAUUUCAGGGGGUACCAGGCAUAAUUUGAUUGCUUUGCUCCUCGAGUACAAAGAUUUAUUCGCAUGGUCAUAUCAGGAUAUGCCAGGAUUGGAUGAAGAUGUAGUGGUCCAUAAACUCCCAUUGAAGCCAGAAUGCAAACCCAUUCAACAAAAGCUAAGACGGAUGGGACCUGAGAUGUUGUUGAAAAUAAAAAAGGAAGUCAAGAAGCAAUUUGAUGUUGGCUUCCUACAAGCCUCCAAAUAUCCAGAGUGGGUGGCUAAUAUAGUCCCGGUACCAAAGAAAGAUAGAAAAGUACGAAUGUGCGUGGAUUAUCGUGACCUGAACCGAGCAAUUCCUAAAGAUAAUUUUCCCUUACCACACAUUGACACGUUGGUGGAUAACACAGCAAAACAUUCAUUGUUUUCUUUCAUGGAUGGAUUCUCGGGGUAUAAUCAGAUCAAGAUGGCCCUUGAGGAUAUGGAGAAAACUACCUUCGUAACAAUGUGGGGAACAUUUUGCUACAAGGUGAUGCCAUUUGGGUUAAAGAAUGCUGGGGCAACAUAUCAGAGGGCUAUGGUGACGUUAUUUUAUGACAUGAUGCAUAAAGAAAUAGAGGUUUACGUCGACGAAAUGAUUGCUAAAUCCUGAGGGGAAGAAGAGCAUAUAGCGAACCUGAAGAAGUUGUUCGACAGACUGAGAAAGUUCCAGCUAAAGCUCAAUCCGGCCAAAUGUACGUUUGGGGUUACCUCGGGAAAGUUGCUAGGCUUCAUUGUUAGUGAAAGAGGCGUUGAAGUUGAUCCAGAUAAGAUAAAAAUCAUUCAAGAACUACCACCUCCGCACACGCAAAAAGAUGUCAGAGGAUUUUUAGGGAGGUUGAACUACAUCGCUCGGUUCAUCGCUCGGUUCAUCGCUCAACUGACCAACCAAUGCGACCCAAUCUUUCCACUCCUUCGAAAACAUAAUCCCGGAGAAUGGAACGAGGAGUGCCAAGUGGCUUUUGACAAGAUAAAACAGUAUUUGUCUAGUCCUCCAGUGCUAGUACUGCCAAUGCUGGGAAGACCGUUGAUAUUGUAUUUGACUGUGUUCGAGAGUUCAAUGGGUUGCGUACUGGAGCAACAUGACGAGUCAGGAAAGAAAGAAAAUGCGAUCUACUACCUCAGUAAAAAAUUCACUGAUUAUGAGACAAAGUAUUCGUCCAUAGAAAAAUACUAUUGCGCUCUGGUUUGGGUAGCUCGGAGACUCAGGCAAUAUAUGCUGUAUCAUACGACAUGGCUAAUUUCAAAGUUGGACCCAAUAAAGUACAUGAUGGAAUCACCUGCACUUUCGGGAAGAAUGGCACUAGGGUAGAUCUUACUAUCAGAAUAUGACAUCGUCUAUGUGAGCCAAAAGUCAAUAAAAGGGAGCGCAAUAGCUGACUUCUUAACAACUCGAACAAUGGAGGAAUACGAGCCAUUGAGAUUUGAUUUCCCAGAUGAGGACUUGAUGUGCAUUACAGAAAAAAAAUGUGAGUCAUCAAAAGAAAAGUCAUGGAAGAUGAGCUUUGAUGGUGCAUCGAAUGCAUUGGGGCAUGGGAUUGGAACAGUCUUAGUAUCACCAGAAGGGAACCAUUAUCCGUUCACUACCAAACUGAAUUUCUUCUGUACCAAUAACAUAUCGGAAUAUAAGGCCUGUAUCAUGGGACUUCGUGCAGCAAUUGAAUGAAACAUCCAAACUUUAGAGGUAUACAGAGACUCAGCAUUGGUGAUUUAUCAGAUCUGUGGAGAUUGGGAAGUGAGGGAUUCAAAAUUAGUCAAAUACAGUGAUCUCGUGGCAGGGUUGAUUAAAGAAUUCAAAGAAAUAACUUUUAAUUACUUCUCACGAGAAGAAAACCAGUUAGCUGAUGCCCUGGCCACUUUGGCUUCAAUGUUUAAAGUAAACAGAGAAACAGAAAUAAUACCUCUUCAAAUGAGCAUAUAUAAAGUCCCUGCACAUUGUUUCAGCAUUGAAGAAGAGCCAGAUGGACGGCCAUGGUUUCAUGAUAUCUUAGAAUACAUUAAGAAUCAAAGGAAUCCCGAGCAAGCAAAGGAGAACGACAAAAGAACAAUUAGAAGAAUGGCAACGGGAUUUGUUCUUGAUGGGGAUAUCCUGUAUAAAAGAGGAAAAGCUCAAGUGCUCUUAAGAUGCGUGGAUACGGUUGAAGCUAGAAAAAUACUUGAAGAUGUCCAUGAAGGAAUUUGUGGGACACAUACUAAUGGUUUCACUAUGGCCAGGAAGAUUAUGAGACUCGGUUAUUACUGGCUAACGAUGGAAAGUGACUGCAUUAGUUUUGCACGAAAAUGUCACAAAUGUCAAAUUUAUGGUGAUAAAAUUCAUGUAGCCCCGUCGCCCCUUCACGUCAUGACUUCUCCGUGGCCCUUUUCUAUGUGGGGCAUGGAUGUUAUAGGGCCAAUUUCCCCAAAAGCUUCUAAUGGACACCGAUUCAUUUUUGUGGUCAUUGAUUACUUCACAAAAUGGAUAGAAGCAGCUUCGUUUGCCAAUGUGACGAAGACUGCAGUUUGUAGGUUUUUGAAAAAGAAAAUCAUUUGUCGAUAUGAUUUGCCUGAAAGAAUCAUUUCAGAUAAUGCCAUGAAUCUGAACAACAAGAUGAUGAAGGAGGUGUGUGAACAAUUCCAAAUAAUGCAUCAUAACUCAUCACCCUAUCGCCCGAAAAUGAACAGAGCUGUUGAAGCAGCCAAUAAGAAUAUUAAGAAGAUCAUUGGGAAAAUGACCGAGACAUAUAAAGAUUGGCACGAAAAGCUACCAUUUUCUUUGUAUGCAUAUCGCACAUCUGUACGGAAAUCUACGGGGGCAACUCAUUUCUCUCUGGUCUAUGGGAUGGAAGUUGUGCUACCUAUCGAAGUUGAGAUCCCCUCUCUACGAGUCCUAAUGGAAUUAAAACUAGAAGAAGCAGAAUGGGUUCGAGCUCGAUAUGACCAGUUAAACCUUAUUGAAGAAAAACGUCUGAAGGCAAUCUGCCAUGGACAGAUGUACCAGAAGAGAAUGAUCGCAGCCCAUGAUAAGAAAGUACAGCCAAGAGAAUUCCACGAAGGAGAACUCGUGCUGAGAAAGAUUCUCCCAAUACAAAAAGACAUCCGAGGAAAAUGAGCACCAAAUUGGGAAGGUCCAUACGUCGUAAAGAAGGCAUUCUCGGGCGGAGCUUUGAUUCUCACCGAGAUGGAUGGGAAGGAGUUAUCGAAUCCAGUGAACUCAGAUGCUAUAAAGAAAUAUUAUGCUUGAAAAAGGAAACCAAGAUGAAAACCCGAAAAGGGCAUCUUAAAAAAAAAGGGGGAUCAAGGUGAAUGUAGCGACGUAAAAAUUUGCUUUCGGUCGCUAAUUGUGGUUGUUUAUUGAAAACUUGAAAACUGAAGUUUGAUUUCAAAAUAAAGAGAGGAGUCGCCACCGAUCCUUUUUAUAGGUGUGAUCGGACACCUAAUAAGUUUAUUUUUAAAACAAAAGGAGACCGAGUUUAGGUCUACGCUAAAAUUAGAGCAAAGUAGGGUCCGGGAGUCGGUUACGCGCGAGGAAGGUAUUAGCACCCUCGCGACGCCCAAAAUUGGUAUCGUAUAAAUACCGGUUGUCUUGAUUUUCAAAAAUCGAGUUCAAUGUAACAUUUAGUCGUUAUACGAUCGAAAAGACGAGAAGUUUUGAUUUUUUUAGUUUUUGAGAAGGACAUACCGUUUUAACACGAGUCGGUUGAUGUUCACCUAACAUAGCGAUGAAAUCGACGACUUAAUGUUAAACCGGGACGUUGCCUUGAUUAUUGAAAUUGAUUAGAAAACAGGAAUGUAAUUUUCAAAGUAACGUAAAACACAACUGAUACGGAAUAAAAAUAAAUAAAUGAAAGAGCUAGGUAUAUAUUGAAACAAAUAACGAACACGACAAAUAUAUUAAAAAUAAUAACCGUGCAUGCAAGAUUAAAUAUAAUAAUAGUAUCAAGUACAAGAUAACAAUGAAUAUACAUAAAAACGAUGUUGAAAGUAAAUAUAUAACAUAUACUUAUACAUGUAUAUACUAUAAUUAUUAAUAAUGUUGAAAAUAUGCUAUAUAAUAUUUGAAAUAUACGUGAUAUAAAAAAUGCAAUACUAAAAGGGUAUACAUAUAUGUAUAAUGAUAUUAGAAAUAUACUAUAUAUAUAAUAUUUGAAAUAUACAUGAAGUGAUAAAAAUAUAUAUAACUAUUAAUGUUAAAGUAUAUACAUGAUAUAUACAUAUGUAUAAAAUGGAUAUUGAAAAUGAUAUGUACAUAACAAAUAUGGAAUAUAUAUAUGAUAUAGUAUGUAAAAAUACAAUAUAAUUUUUGAAAUAUAUGCAUGAUACGUGAAAACACAAUAUAAAAAAAAGUACGCACAUGUGAUACAUAAAAAAAAUACAUAUAUAAUAUGACAUUAAAACAUUUACAUAAUAUAUACACAUAUGAUUACAAGGUUAAAUACAUAUUAAAAUUAAUAAUAAUACUAAUAUUACAUAAAGGUAUACUUAUAUAUACUAAAGUUAUGUACAUAUAUAGUAAAAUACAUGGAUGAUACAAUAUUUAACAUAUACAUAACAUAUAAUAAAAAUAAUAAUAUACAUAAUAUAUAUAAAAUACAUAUAUAACAAAACAUAUACUAUAAUAAUAAUAACAAUAAGGAUAAUAAUAAUAAUAAUAAUGUAAAAAAACAAGAAUAUUUAAUAAAGAAAUGAAAAUAAACAAAGAAAGGAUUAAAAUCAAACUAAAAACAAAAUUUUGGGGCCGAUUUGAAAUAAAAACAAAGAAAAGGGACUUAAUUAUAACACGCGCAUGACUUGGAGAGGUUAAAAGUGCAAUAUUCCCUGUUUUCAAACGCAGCGUAGCACAGGGGAUUAAAUUGAAAAAACGAGAAAAAUUCUGGGGCCAAAUUAAAAUAUAAAAACUUGAUUGUAAAACGUUUAAAAAGCGGAAGGGCGGAUUGCGCAAAUAGCCCUUCUGCAUAAAAACACGCGGAUCCUAGGGGAUAGGGUCGGGUCGACCCGAUCCACUAAUGAAACGACGUCGCUUUUUAGUCUGAGUUUGGGCACCAAAACGAUGCCGUUUUGGUAGGCUAUAAAUAGCCUAAAAUUCUGAAAAAAAAAUCACUUUGAGAGGGAAAAGAGAAAAAAAAAAGAGAGGGGUAGCAUGGGGCGAUUUUCGGUGGGGGAAGCCGGCCACCGUCCGAUCACCAGAGGCUCACCGGCGCCGGCGCCGGCCACCAUACACUGUGGCCGGAAAAGGUAAAAUUAAUUUUUUUUGUUUAUUAUUUCUUUUAUGUUACUCUUUUUAUUUGUUUAUAUAUAAAUGUGAAAUGAAAAAAAAGUAUGAAAAUUACCUUUGGAUCCCGAUUUGAAUCUGUUUUGGGUCGUUCUAUUUUCUUUUUGGAUUUGAAAUGAAUUUCUUAUUUCUUUGUGCUUUCAAACUGCCGAAAUCCUGUUACAAUUUUUCAUUCGGGUUUUUAUAACCCUUUUACAAGUUAUUUCCUAUUAUUAUCUGUCUUUUCGCUUCACUGGUUGCAGGUGCAAGUGAUGCUGAGGUGACCUUGGAGGUGGAGCAGAUGGCUAGGUCAGCGGUGGUCAGACCUUGGUGACAGUAGCGGCACAAGUGGGAGGCUAAAAGUCAAAAUGCUAGGGCGGCGCUGGUCAGAUGAGGGUUAGGGUUUCGGUGGGGCUAGCUUAGGGUUAGGGUAUUGGGGUUAGCUUGGUGGGUUGUUUUGGGAUUAAUGGGCUAAUGUUGUAAAUGGGCUAAUGGUUGAGGGUUUUUGGUAAUUGGGUUGUAUUGUGUUUGGGUUUUAUGGGUUAAAGUGUAAAUGGGUUAAUGGUUAAGGGUUUUGUGGGUUAAAGUGUAAAUGGGCCCGGGCAAUUUGGGCUUCUACAGUGAAAACUCGAAAAGGGCGUCUUGAUUAAACACAAAAGAUUAGGAUGAAAACUCGAAAGGGCGUUCUAAUAAAAGAAGCCCGGGCUUAAAGAAUAAGGCGGUCGGAUAGUGGGUCAAACAGCAAGACUAUAGUGUUUGAAGUAUUUCUGAAAGCUCGAAAUCUUUUACGCAAGAAGCCAUGCUCGAAAAUAUUCUGGAUUAAGGAACGGGGAAGAGUUCAUGUGUUGAAUAUCUAGAGCAUUUGUAUCCGUUGAAUGCAAUCCCUUUUCUCUUUAUGACACUUUUUACUAUCAUUGAUUAACUUUCUUUGUUUGAUACAUUUGAAAUAAAUAAAUAUGAGGUAGCCUUUUUUUGCCCCUACCUGACCAUUUUCAUGCAUAUCAUUAUGUGUUUAUUUACAUGAUAAAUAGUGAAAUGACAUACUCUAAACAAAAGAAAUGUUAAGCAUUACUUGGAUGAAAAUUUGACAAAUACAAGAGCUUCAAAGUAAGGACAAAGUUCAAACAGGGGCAAAAGAGCGAUAACUGAGAAAUACAGAUUACUCGUGAAGCUUGAGGACAGGUACAGGGCCUAAAGAGAAAGUCAAGAGCCGAAGUAAUGAAUGCAAAUCAUCACAAAAAUCGUGAUGAAAAAUGACAUACGACAAACAUGUCUGAGGUGCAUAGCAAAAUCAUGUAGGCAUAAAGACAUUUAAGACAAACAUGUGCAAAUCAUAAUGACAUCAUGCAUGACAUAUACAGGUACUCCAGUAGAGCAAGAGGAUGUGAUGAUAGCUGUACUGAAUCAAAGGAAAAGACACCUGAAUUCCACCAGAUGACAGGAUUUAGUAUUUUGAUGUUUUUAUUUCUGUUUUCAAAAUCAACUCAUAUUGCGAGAGGUGAGUUGAGCCUCAAUACACGUUGAGGUAUUUUCAGUUUAUGUUUCAAAAAUCAACUCAUAUUGCAAGAAGUGAGUUGAGCCUCAGGACACGCUGAGGUAAUUUCAAUUUCUGUUUUUCAAUUUCUACUUUUCAAAAAUCAACUCAUAUUGCGAGAGGUGAGUUGAGCCUCAGAACACGCUGAGGUAAUUGCAAUUUCUAUGUUUCAAAAAUCAACUCAUAUGGCGAAAGGAGAGUUGAGCCUAGGCUCACACGCCGAGGUAUUUUUAAUUUCUGUUUUUCAAAAAUCGAUUCAUAUUGUGAGAGGUGAGUUGAACCUUUUUAAUCUCUAUUUUUCAAAAAUCGACUCAUAUUGCCAGAGGUGAGUUGAACCUUUUAAUUUAUAUUAUUCAAAAGUCAACUCAUAUUGCGAGAGGUGAGUUGAGCCUCAGGUCACAUGUCAAUGUAUUUUCAAAAUAUGCUUUUCAAGUUAAGUUUCAAAAAAACCAACUCAUAUUGCGAGAGGUGAGUUGAGUCUUGGCUCACGUGCUGAGCUAUUUUCAAUUUCUGUUUUAAUGUCUGUUUUCAAAGAGUCAAUUCGUAUUGCGAGAAAUGAGUUGAGCUCAAGAUCACAUGUUGAGUAAAGAAUAAAGAUUGGAGUAGAUUGAAGACACAAGAUUUUGUCUCCCUAAAGUUGCAGUGAAGCUGAUCGAGGAUAUCAGAGCUUGCCUUUCUGAAGUCGCAAAAGAAAAGACCACAAACCUUAUCUCACUGAAGCGAUAGAAGAGCAGAUUGAAGUUGUAGAUCUCACCUUUCAGAAGUUACAGUAAAGAAGAUCGAAGUCGCAAAUCUCAUAUCUUUGAAGUUACAUUGGAGUAGAUUGAAUCUACAAGGCAUAUAUCAGAAGAUACAGUGGAUUGAACCAAAGCUACGAGAUACGUUGGACUAGAAAGAGACUACCUAAACAAUAAGAGUUCCAAAGCAAGUCAAGACCUGGCAAGACCAGGCAAAUUUGGUCUUCCUUGAAAGUCUUUACUCUAUUCCCGUUGCACGACAAUGAGCAAAGAGGGGCAGCUGUAGAAGCCCAAAUUGCCCAGGCCCAAUUACAAUUAAACUCACUAACCCCCUAAAACCCACUUACAACCAUCAACCCAAUUUAACCUAAUUUCUAACCCAAACCCCUUAACCCAUUUUUUAAACCCAAAACCCGAAUGGCCCACUAAAGUAUCAGCCAACCCCAUGACCAAUUUACAACAUAAACCAUUAACCCAAACCCUAAAUGUUAAUAGCCCAAAUAAUACCCAAAACUUAGAGGCCCAAAUUCUUGACCCAAAUGCUGACUUAGGGUUUCAGUUUUUGAAACCCUAACCUGCUCAGCGCCGCAACUACCCCCCUACUUGCCUCUGCCAAAGCCUGCAGCACCGGCCACCUGCCCUUUGUGCCCCCAUCACCUCUCAACUGCUCCUGCAAAGAGAAAAAGAGACAAUACAGAAACUAAUAGAGAAUAAAUUGUAAGGCUAUAAAAGCCGAAUCAAAAUGUUGUAAGGGAGGUCGGCCAAAUUUCCAGUCAAUACAAACAUAGUAUUUCUAAAUACAAAUAAAACAGGGACUCCAAAGCAAGAACAAAACAGCAAAUCGAAGGGCAAAACAACAAAAACUAGAUUCAAACACAAGGUGAUUUUACUUAAAAAAAGAAACCGAAUCUUUCUUUUUUUUCUCAUCUACUACAAAUCUAUAUAUAUAUAUAUAUAUAUUACAUAACAAAUAUAUAAAAAAUAAAAGGAAAAAAUUUAAAUUUUUUUUACCUCUCCGGCCACCGUGUACGGUGGCCGGCGUUGGCGACGGACGGUGGCCGACGAUCGGCCGGUGACCCCCCUCGGCCGGAAUCCCUCUCUCCUUUCUCCCCUCCCUCUCUUCUCCCCUCUCUCUUUUUCUUUUUUUUCUUCUGCUGUUAAUAAUGAAUUUUUUAAAAAAAAUUGGCUUUUAUAGGAACCAAAACGCAUCGUUUUGGUCCCCUCAUUAAACAAAAACGACGUCGUUUUAGCCCCGGGUCGGGUCGACCCGACCUGCUCCGAACAGGAUCCGCGUGUUUUUAAAACGGAAGGGCUAAUUGCGCUUUUAACCCUUCCGCUUUUCUGGGGUUUUACAAUCAAGUUUUUUCAUUUUCAAUUUGGCCCCAUAAUUUUUAGCGCUUUUCAAUUUGAUCCCCCAUGUUGCGCUUCGUUUUGACCAAGGGGUUUAUUGUGCUUUUAGCCCCUCCAGGUUAGGCGUGUUUUAUAAUUUCGUCCUCUUCUUUUUAUUUUUUUUCAAAUCGGCCCCAAUAGCUAAUUUUUCAAUUCAAUUUCGUCCUUUUUUUUUACUUUUUUCCGUUAUUCUACUUUAAUUUUAUUAUUGUUAUAGUUUUAUUAUUAUUGUUAUUAUCAUCAUUAUUAUUUAUUAGUGUAUAGUUUAUAUAUAUAUGUAGUAAUGUUCUAUUACUUUAUUUUUAUAAUUUCAUUAUUAUAGCAACUUUUUGUAUCUCAAUAUUACUAUCUAUAUUAUUAUUAUUUUACCACAUUAUUAUAUUAUGGUUGUUAUUAAUAUACUAUUAUUAUAUUUAUUAAUAAUAUUAUUAGUACUAAUGUAUAUUUUCACUUAAUAUUUAUGUAUGUGUCUACGUGUUUGUAUUUAUGUAUUGUACUAAUAGUUUUCUUUUUUUAUAUUAUUAUCUCUAAUAUAUGUAUAUAUUGUAUAUGUUUAGAUUAUAUAUAUUAUUUCUUUACUAUUCCAUGUAUAUAUUUUUAUACCAUAUCGUGUAUAUAUCUUCAUUACUCCUAUCAUCAUUAUUAAUAUUAGCGUGUGUUAUCGCAUGUGUGUAUAUAUGUAUCUUUAAUGGCGUGUUUCUAUUUUUAUUAUAUAUGUAUUGUAAUACGCAUAUGCAUGUGUUUUAAUUAAUUGUACGUUUUUCGCAUACUAUUUCAUGUAGGUAUUUUUUAUAUAAUCCUUAUUAUUGAUACCAAUGUUAGUACAUAUAUUUUAUUAUAUGUAUUUAUAUUUUUUAUAGUAUCAUUUUCAUAUGUUAUUAUGUUUAUUAUUUCUUUUCUAAAUUGUCACUCAUGAUCUUAAUAUUAUUUUAAGUUAUUUGGCAUACACCUAUCUUUUUAUUGUUACUAUUUUUACUAUUAUUAUUAGUAUGUGUCUAGUGUAUAUGUUCAUUUUAAAUAUAUUAUGUAUAUAUAUAUAUAUCUAUAUUAGGUACCUAUAUUUAGAAUUAUUAUGUAAACAUCUUUCAUCUCUAUGCACAUACACCUUUCAAUAUAUAUAUCAUUAUGAAUAUACUUUAACAUUAAUAGUUAUGUAUAUUUUUCAUCACUUCAUGUAUAUUUCGAAUAUUAUAAGUAGUAUAUUUCCAACAUUACUACUAAUUAUAUAUAUAUGUAAAUAUAUAUUAUGUAUAUACUCUUAAUGUCAUUUUUUUACAUAGGUAUAUUCGUAGUGUUCUCAUUGUGUUCUCGUAUUUGAUACUAUUGUUACAUUUAAUAUCGCGUGCAUUGUAUUUGUUUUUAAUAUUAUUGUCGUAUGUAUUCUGUGCCUUGAUGUAUUUACAAUUAUUAUCUUUCGUUUCUCGCCCAUUUUUAUACAUUACCUCGUUGUUCAUUAUUUCAAAAGGUUUAUUCGUGUUUUCAUUUAUUUCAAUAAGCAAGACAACAUACCGAUUUAAACACCAUGUCAUCGAUUUCAUCGCUAUGUUGGGUGAAUAUCAAAUGACUCGGGUUAAAACGGUAUAUCCUUCUCAAAAACAUAAAAAUUAAAAUUUCUCGUCUUUUCAAUUGGAUUACGAUUAAACCUUUCAUUAAACUCGUAUUUUUGAAAAUCAAGACAACUCGUGUUUAUAAGAUACCAAUUUUGGGUGUCGCGAGGGUGCCAAUACCUUCCUCGCGCGUAACCGACUCCCGAACCCUAAUUUUAUCUGGCUUUUAACGUAGACCUAAACUCGGCCUUAUUUUUGUUUUAAAAAUAAAUUUAUUAGGUGUCUGAUCGUACCUAUAAAAAGGAUCAGUGGCGACUCCCCUUUUAUUUCAAAAUCAAAUCUCGGUCAUUAAAUUUUCAAAAUCAAACACCCUAAUUAGCGACCAAGCUAAAUUUUUAUGUCGCUACACUAACAACACAAAGAUUUUAAAACAAGUCACAUAUACAACAGCUUUUUAAAAAAAAAUAAAGAUAUAAAUGAAUAAUGUAUUAUUUAAUAACAUAUGAAUAUUUUUUAAAAUAAAUAAUAUAACAUAAAUAAUAUACAAAAUAAUACACAUAUUAAUUUACAUAAAGAGGCUUAAUAUAAAUACUUGGCGCAUAGGAAUAUAAAUAUAUAAAAGGUAUUUGAAUUAAUAAAAGUGACAAAAUAAGGUUUAUAUAAAAAAAAUUGUAAAAAGGGGAAAAAAUAUAUCUAUAUGAAAUAGUAUAACAUCAGUAAUAUACAUACAUAUAUAAAGCUAAAUGAUGUGAAAAUAUGAUGUGAAAAUAUAAAAAAGUAUGGGGAUAUUUAAAUUUAACACAUUAAAAUAAAAGAAACACAUAUUGAAAUAAUAAGUGAACUCAAUUGAAACAAACCAAACUUAAAGAAAUAAUUUAUGAUUAAAUAGAACAUCAAAUUAAAACUAAGGACCACAAUUCAAUGCGCACAAAUUCAUAAGGACAGAAAACGCAAAUGAUCCAGAUCUCCAAAACGCAGCACCCAGGAAUGGGCCAAAUUAAAACAGUAUGCAAACUUCAGGGAAGAUUUUAAAAGACAAUAAAAUGUGAAUUGGGCCAAUUUAGAAGUGGGCUCGAAGGAGGGGGAUUAAAAGUGAAAUUCCCCAUUUAAAAAGCAAAUGCACGUGGACCAAGUCAUCUACUAACUUUUUCCCUUCCCAAUGCUAUUUUACUUUAUUUCAUUUAAAUUAAAACCUGCUUUAACAAAAAUCAAUUUUUAAUUGAAAGAAAGCAUUUUAACUUCGAUUUAUUUUUUUAAAACAAACCCCAAACUCUUUCUUCUUCCCCACUUCCUUUUUUUUUCCAGUCGCAAACAAGGCUAACACCAAGCCUUCGAUCGCCUCCGUGACUGAUUGCGACGACCGGAGCAAGGCUUCCCCAUGGUGCGAGUGCGACGUCUAGUGAAUUUCUCUCGGAUCGUCUUUUACACAUAAAAGAAAAAGGAAAGAAAAAUAGUAAAACCGUAAAAGGAAAAAAAAAUUCAAGAAUCACCUUUAACAAGUGUUGUUAUUAUAGAUCUCUACUUGCUUUUGAUUUUGUAUCUAUAUUCUCUCUAACCAAAAGUAAAAAAAAACCUCCCUUACAAACAAAAAAUCAAAGCUUUUAUAGCCAAAUACAAACGGUUUUCUGGCCAUUUUCUUGCUUCAAUAUCGCAGGCUGUGGAGUUGUGGAGGAGUGCAUGAUCAUGGGGCGUGGACGCGUGAGCCAGGGGGUCGUGCUCGGUGUGCCGACGCACGUGGUGGAGGGGAGCAGCAACUGUUUCCUUUUUUGCUGAAAAGUUAGUCUAGUAUUGGGCUGUUUGGGCUCUAGGGUUAGGUUUAUUUUGGGCUUAUAAUUGGGUUUGUUGUUUUUGUAAUUUUUGGACUUUUUUGGAUUUUUAUGUGGGUUUUAUUAGGUUUAUUAUUUAGUGUAAUUGGGCCGGCUAUUAUUUGUAAAUUGACUUAUUUAAUAUCUUGUUUUAUUUUUUUGUUUUUUUGUAUGUGUAUGGGGCCAGGCUAAAAAUUGGGUCUACAAUCUCCAUAUUUUAUUUUUUAGUAUAAUUUAUCUCUAUAUUUUCACAAUAUUAUUAAUUAGCCUAAAUAGUUAAUAUUGUUAAUUUUUCAAUUAAAAUGUUAUAUAGUUAUACAUAAUUUGGAUGUUCUAAGGAUCUUAAAGACCGAU